AUGAGGUUGCAUAGCAAAACCACGCUGUCCUCGAACAGCCAUUCAGCGCCGCUCCUGACUUGGUCAGCCGCGCCACUGGACUCGAGGAAAGCUUUGUCAUUGCUCCUGAGCCCCGUGGAACCACAGCCUCUCCGACACCACUUGACUUCACUCACGCCCGCCUGGCCCACUAGGCACCCCUCUAAAAGCCUCGUCCCGUUCGCCUUUCCCGUCACCCGCACACUCCCUGACACUCUCCAUGCCUUUCUGAAAGAAAAGAAAACAACAGCGUGGCUCCGUGUCCAAGCAACCCAAGUCUCCCCACAGGGGGGCCGAAGCGGGGGCCAGCCCUCCCUCCCCGGAGUUCAAGUUCAAUACCUGGCCCAGACGGGCGGGGGCCGCCUUGCCUCUUACUUAUCGCUCUCCAGCUUGGCAUCCUGGAGGCCAGGGGACACGCCAGUUAGAAGACCGCAGAGAGAGAGAGAGAAACAUCACAAACACCACUUCGCUGACCUAUGGGUGAGUCGCUCCAGUCUUUUUCGGGGCUACGAUUAGAAUCCUGAACCAAAAGACUGUGACCUCCAGGCAACGCUCCAAAGGCACUGUGGGAAGGGCAAACUGCCCAGGAGGAAUCCACCUGGGGCUUGCAGUAUCAAGCCAUCCAAGCCGGCUUGGAAGGAGAGCCCAGUCCUGGAAGGGAGAGAGGGGAAAGGGUCCCAAGGUUUGGGAUGCUGGAAAUUAAUAAGGAAAGCCCAGAUCUCCCACUUCCUGGUUCCACUCAUCUGUUCCAGAGACACGAAGACUAGGGCACUUUGAGAACUGACGAUUGUACGAGCACUGUCUCUAUAACACCCAGAAGUGAAAUGACUCUCUUUGUGGUUCCUGGAUCUCUGCCUAUCUGGACGGAAAUUAAGGAUCCCAGCAGCAGAUUAGGACUCCAAAAUCUUCACCAACCCAGAGCACCAGCACCCCUGCACUACUCCCUCUCCUUGCUGAACACAACUUUUUGGGGAUUCCGCUGAUUCGUUUAGAAGUCUUUUCCUUUACCUUUCCUUAAAGGGUUCAGUAACCCUUUUACUUGUAAGAUGCCUUAGCUGUUCUGGGGUGGGGAUGAGGAGUAAGUUUUCUGGAAACAAAACAUCAAAAGCUAAAAUUGCAUGUUGGGUUUCAACAAAAAAUUAGGUCAUUUCCCCCAUUGUACCAGGUGAUUUAACCUUAAGGCCAAAACAUUCCAGAGGAGGUAGCUAUGAGUCAGAAUCCUAGACUCAUCAUAUCCCUAAGUGACAAAGAGUAUUUCCAAUUUGUUUCCACUCUUCUAUUAUGGCCAAAGGGCAGCUUGGUGGUGAAGUGGAUGGAGAUCUGGGAAGAUCUGACAAAUGAGGCCUCAGAUACUAGCUAAGUGAUCAUGGGCAAGUCACUUAACUGUUUACCUCAGUUUCCUCAUCUGUAAAAUGAGCUGGAGAAGGAAGUGGCAAACUAACCCAGUAUACUUGCCAGGAAAACCACAAAUGGGGCCAGGAACAGUAGGACAAAGCAAUUAUUGACAACUAGUCUCAUUGUUCAGGAAGGAGCUUUCUACUCACAUGGAGAGUUACCUAACUGAAUUGUUUUUCUCUCUCUCCUGGAGAAGCUGGGAUUUGGAAAUUGAGGGGACUUGAGAGAGUUUAAAAGUUUGUAUGUAGGGACUUGUGGACGCUGACUUUUGGUGUAGAUUCCUGGCAGUUGUUUAAGACCAAAGCUGUGGAGUUGGUAGCCUGGUAGGAGCUGGAUUCUGGAACUCUGGUGAGUUAGCCACUGGUCUGAUAAUUGGAACUAAGGAAAUUAGGAAUCAUUUUUGUCAUCUAUUGGAUUUUGGUGGGGUUGGGUAGAAGUAUAACAAUGCAGAUGUUGGAAUCUGAAGUUGUAGAAGUUUGGAGAUAGGAGGAUUUGUGCAUUGCCCAUGAUCAGUGGAAUUGGUAUAAUGGGAACUGUAGCAUGGCUACACAGUGGUGGGUUGGCCCUGGAAUAAAGGUGGGCUAAUAAGAGCCA
ensembl:lncRNA